UACGUAGGGGGCUAGCGUUGUCCGGAAUCAUUGGGCGUAAAGCGCGUGUAGGCGGUCCGGUAAGUCCGCUGUGAAAGUCGGGGGCUCAACCCUCGAAUGCCGGUGGAUACUGUCGGGCUAGAGUGCGGAAGAGGCGAGUGGAAUUCCUGGAGUAGCGGUGAAAUGCGCAGAUAUCAGGAGGAACACCAAUUGCGAAGGCAGCUCGCUGGGACGUUACUGACGCUGAGACGCGAAAGCGUGGGGAGCAAACAGG
rnacentral:rRNA from 1 species